AUAAUAAUGAUAAAUACUAUUAUUAACAAGUAUUAUUAUUUUUCAACAGGUUGACAGACAUUCACAUUCAUCCUACUAGGAGAUCAGUGUUUCUUGCUCCAUGUUUCUAA